UACGGGGGGCGCAAGCGUUGUUCGGAAUCACUGGGCGUAAAGCGGCUGUAGGCGGUGAUGUAAGUCACUGGUGCAAUACUCGGGCUCAACCGGAGAACAGCCCGUGAAACUGCGUGGCUAGAGUGUGGGAGAGGCGGGAGGAAUUCCCUGUGUAGCGGUGAAAUGCGUAGAUAUAGGGAAGAACACCGGUGGCGAAGGCGUCCUGCGGGACAAGAAUUGACUAUGAGGUGCGAAAGCGAGGGGAGCAAACGGG
rnacentral:rRNA from 1 species